UAGUCAUAUGCUUGUCUCAAAGACUAAGCCAUGCAUGUCUAAGUAUAAACACCUUUAUACUGCGAAACUGCGAACGGCUCAUUAUAUCAGUUAUAAUCUACUUGAUCGUAUCCUCUUACUUGGAUAACCGUAGUAAUUCUAGAGCUAAUACAUGCAAAAGAUCCCGACUGGUGACGGAAGGGAUGUAUUUAUUAGGUCCAAAAUCAAUGCUGGCCAUUCGGUCAGGAAAGUUGAUGAUUCAUAAUAACUAAACGAAGCGCAGGCCUCGCGUCGGCG
rnacentral:rRNA from 1 species